GCCAUUUUGUCGAUGCUAAGGGACGCGUCGCAGUUCGCCAGCGCCGUCGUCUCGGCGACGGCGCGACGAUGACGCGUUUCCGUUGUUUUCGACGCGGACGGUAGCUUUGCGCGCGGGUAUUCGACGCGGCCCACUCGCUCGGCGCCUCCGUGCGUCGAGUGGCGCUCGCGUCGACGCCGGUCAGCGACGAAUCUUCGGGCCUCUUUCCGACCCGUCUUGAAACACGGACCAAGGAGUCUAGCGUGCGCGCGAGUCGCGGGGUAUCCGAGCCGUCGUAGUCGUUUCGCGCGGCGAACGCGGCUCGUCACGAUACGAAACCCGUGUACGUACGUUGUGCGAAGGCAUAAUGAAAGUGAAAGGCGGCGCUUCGCGCGUCGCCGGGGGAAGAUAGUGUUCCGAGUUCACGUAUCGCGGUCGCACGUGUACCGCGACCGGACACUCGCAUUCCCAGGGCGUCUCGCUCGUACGGCCGUGGCCGGGGUUCGCUUCGGUCGCGGACGAACUGAGGCGCACCUACAGCGUGCACGCUGGUACCCGAAAGAUGGUGAACUAUGCCCGGCCAGGAUGAAGUCAGGGGAAA
rnacentral:rRNA from 1 species